rnacentral:rRNA from 1 species
AAUUGGCGGUGGACUACACAUGCAAGUCGAACGGCAGCACAGGAGAGCUUGCUCCCUGGGUGGCGAGUGGCGGACGGGUGAGGAAUACAUCGGAAUCUACUCUGUCGUGGGGGAUAACGUAGGGAAACUUACGCUAAUACCGCAUACGACCUACGGGUGAAAGCAGGGGAUCUUCGGACCUUGCGCGAUUGAAUGAGCCGAUGUCGGAUUAGCUAGUUGGCGGGGUAAAGGCCCACCAAGGCGACGAUCCGUAGCUGGUCUGAGAGGAUGAUCAGCCACACUGGAACUGAGACACGGUCCAGACUCCUACGGGAGGCAGCAGUGGGGAAUAUUGGACAAUGGGCGCAAGCCUGAUCCAGCCAUACCGCGUGGGUGAAGAAGGCCUUCGGGUUGUAAAGCCCUUUUGUUGGGAAAGAAAUCCAGCUGGUUAAUACCCGGUUGGGAUGACGGUACCCAAAGAAUAAGCACCGGCUAACUUCGUGCCAGCCCC